UACGGAGGAUGCGAGCGUUAUCCGAAUUUAUUGGGUUUAAAGGGUGCGUAGGCGGAUCGUUAAGUCAGUGGUCAAAUUGAGGGGCUCAACCCCUUCCCGCCAUUGAAACUGGCGAUCUUGAGUGGAAGAGAAGUAUGCGGAAUGCGUGGUGUAGCGGUGAAAUGCAUAGAUAUCACGCAGAACCCCGAUUGCGAAGGCAGCAUGCCGGCUUCCUACUGACGCUGAAGCACGAAAGCGUGGGGAUCGAACAGG
rnacentral:rRNA from 1 species